UUCCAGAUUUGAAAAUGCCACGAGAGCCAGAACACACCAUAAUGUUCCUUCAGAGCUCCAAGAGCUUGGCGACGAGACGAUACCAGGAGUUCGAGUCAAUUGAUCAGGCAAUGGAAGGCAUCUGCAAGACAUACGAGAACUAUCUUAAGGUCACAAAUCCGAAUAAAUCCACUAUAACUUAUGACGUCAAUGACCUCUUCGAUUACAUUGAUUCUCUGCCCGAUUUGUCAGUGUUAGUGCAGACUGACAAUGGAAGAUAUGCUCCAUGGGGUAAAAAGUGGGUCAAGACGAAGUUAUUCGACUGUCUUCGAGAACAAGCAGGAAGAUGAAAUGAAAGGAUAGAACAGAAUGUUAUUUCAGCAUUUCUGGAGUUACUGUUGCAAUAUAAUUCGAACCCUUUUGAUCUGGGUUCGGUUCGAACAAAGUCUGAUAAAAGAAGUUGAGUCAAUACAAUAGGCGCGAGGAUUAUUUUCUGAAACGUGGGUUCUAAACAUAAAACUUGAUUAUCUCUCUGUGAUUUUUUGUUUCGUGAAUUUUUCUAAUUGGUAGUGUUUUUUUUUCUGUCGGCUACAUGAUUUUUUUAAAUCAAUGAAGUAAAUAUCGAUAACUACUUGAAGCAAUUAAAAUUUACUGCUUUUCAGAUGCUGGCGUAAUGAUAUUUUGAUUUUCCCUUUUUAAUUUUUGGUUAUCAAUACUUUCUGUCUAAUAUUAUGUUCCAUUUUCAUCAAUUUACUCUUAAUUAUCAUG